rnacentral:rRNA from 1 species
GAGUUUGAUCCUGGCUCAGGAUGAACGCUGGCGGCGUGCUUAACACAUGCAAGUCGAACGAGGAAUUUUAAUGAGACUUCGGUGGAUUUUAAAAUUCUUAGUGGCGGACGGGUGAGUAACGCGUGGGCAACCUGCCCUGGUACAGGGGGGACAACAGCUGGAACGGCUGCUAAUACCGCAUAAGACCACGGAGCCGCGUGGCUCAGUGGGAAAAACUCCGGUGGUACAGGAUGGGCCCGCGUUGGAUUAGGUAGUUGGUGAGGUAACGGCCCACCAAGCCGACGAUCCAUAGCCGACCUGAGAGGGUGACCGGCCACGUUGGGACUGAGACACGGCCCAAACUCCUACGGGAGGCAGCAGUGGGGAAUCUUCCGCGAAUGGGCGAAAGCCUGACGGAGCAACGCCGCGUGAGUGAAG